UACUACGGCCAUACCAGUCUGAAAGUGCCUGAUCUCGUCAGAUCUCAGAAGACAUCCAGACUCGGGCCUGGUUAGUACGUAUAAUCAUUUGUUGCUUUUAUAC